rnacentral:lncRNA from 1 species
ACUGAUAACAUCUUGGAAAUACAUGUACCAUAUGAAUGUGCUAUAUAAUGUACAGGUUAAUGUAAAAUGAAACUACUUUUUGUUUUGAAUGAAUCAAUGAAGGUCAGAGUAACAGUAGGGGUAGUUUAUGAAGGUCAGAGUAACAGUAGGGGUAGUUUAUGAAGGUCAGAGUAACAGUAGGGUCAAUGAAGGUCAGAGUAACAGUAGGUCAAUGAAGGUCAGAGUAACAGUAGGGGUAGUUUAUGAAGGUCAGAGUAACAGUAGGGGUCAAUGAAGGUCAGAGUAACAGUAGGGGUCAAUGAAGGUCAGAGUAACAGUAGGGGUAGUUUAUGAAGGUCAGAGUAACAGUAGGGGUAGUUUAUGAAGGUCAGAGUAACAGUAGGGGUCAAUGAAGGUCAGAGUAACAGUAGGGGUCAAUGAAGGUCAGAGUAACAGUAGGG